rnacentral:rRNA from 1 species
AUUGAACGCUGGCGGCAUGCUUUACACAUGCAAGUCGAACGGUAACAGGCCGCAAGGUGCUGACGAGUGGCGAACGGGUGAGUAAUGCAUCGGAACGUGCCCAGUCGUGGGGGAUAACGCAGCGAAAGCUGUGCUAAUACCGCAUACGAUCUGUGGAUGAAAGCGGGGGACCGUAAGGCCUCGCGCGAUUGGAGCGGCCGAUGUCAGAUUAGGUAGUUGGUGGGGUAAAGGCUCACCAAGCCGACGAGCUGUAGCUGGUCUGAGAGGACGAACAGCCACACUGGGACUGAGACACGGCCCAGACUCCUACGGGAGGCAGCAGUGGGGAAGUUUGGACAAUGGGGGGAACCCUGAUCCAGCCAUGCCGCGUGAGGGAAGAAGGCCUUCGGGUUGUAAACCGCUUUUGUCAGGGAAGAAACGUUCUGGGCUAAUAAAGAGAGGUCAUGACGGUACCGUAAGAAUAAGCACCGGCUAACUACGUGCCAGCAGCCGCGGUAACAC